UAGUGAUGUACCUUACUACAUACUCAAUAGUUGAAAGUCGGUAAACAUGUAUUAUGCAAUCAUUUUGUGGUCCUCGGAAGUCAUAAGGAAGAUGAGACAUGAAUAGCCAUUUACAUUACAGCAACACAAGUCUGUAUAAAGCACAGGAAAAAAGGCAAAUUGUAAGCAAAAUGGAACAUAUCAUUGCAAUAAAACUUGGAAUACACCAUAGUUCGAACGCUUGCAAGAUAACCAGUGAUAAACCAAAAUAUUGUGAAGAGAUAAGUGUUAUAUUUGGAGAUAAUAUUGAAUCAAAACUAAAUACACUUACAACACCAACUAUGGCAUUGUUUGACGACAAGGGAGCUAUCCAAUCAUACGGAUUCGAAGCUGAAAUUCAUCACUACCUGCUUGAUAACACUUGUAAUCAUUUUUUCCGCGAAUUUAUUUGGGAUCUCUUUUGUUCAGACGAAAAGGUUCCAGAAAACCUGAUUGCUGUCAAUGGCAGGCAAAUGAAAUCGAUUGACGUUAUGACCGCUGUUUUGGGCCACAUGAUCAAUCAUAUAAAAAAGGCAGGAAUAUUUCCAAGUUUACCAGAAGCAUUAACGUACGUCUUAACCCUCCCGACGUGUUCGUGUAAAGAUUCGAGAGCAUUCAUGAAAAAUGCUGCCUUAAAGGCAGGUUGUGCAUCAGGGAAGAUCAAAAUCGUUGAAGAAGCUGCUGCUGUCUUACAAUUUUGUCUACACAAUGAACACAUUUACGGGGCCACAUCGUUAGAUGACAAGUGCAACAGAAAGUAUAUAGUAGUAGAGUGCGAAGGUAGGUAUGAUUAAUUAAAGGCUAAACUUCUACUCGUUUGUAGAAUCGACACAUGAUUGACCAAAUUUGACUUAAAACCCUUGACAUGUAAGCAUGACAAAUUAAAAAAAAAAUUGACGACGUAUUGUCAGUGCCAAAAGUAACCGCUAUUCAAACUUAAUUAAGAUAUACAUUCCCUAAAACGUUCUACUUUCCCAUUUUUUCCGAGCGAUCAUCGUGCGUUGUUACAAAGCACUUUGAAAAAUUAAACCCUGUAAAAAUUUUUUUCAAAGUGCGUUGAUAUCGUCUAGAUAUU